rnacentral:lncRNA from 1 species
GUCCAGUCCUCAGUGGUGAUCAGAGAGCAAUGACUGAGCUGCAUAUCAAUAACCAGCGACAGCAACAAACUGAGAGAUCCACUAUGGUGAGGAAGAGACAGGAAGAGAGACAGGAGGGAGACCAGGAGACCCUGUGUGGGGACCCCUCGUCGCCCCCCGGAGAACAGCGUCCGGCACAGGAGGAAGAGGCCACCCCCGAUCCGGACUCCUCCUCCCCCUCUCCGGACCCCCCCCCGCCCCAUCAGGUCUCCACCUCGUCGCAAAAGAAAGAACGCCUGACACAGGUGAGGAAGGAGAGGACACCAACACCCACACGGAGCGACUGAGACGUCUUUGUGUUUCCUGUCGUGGGUCUUCAGUGUCGGUUUGACCCGAAGAGUUCCUGAUGCCGUGUGUUUGUGUCCUAGGUGGUGAUCAGAUGGAUGGAGACAAAUGAGGAGGUGAAUGACCCGGACCAAGGCCAGACCCCCCCGGACCGAGGCCGGACCGCCCCGGACCGAGACCAGACCGCCCCGGACCGAGGCCAGACCGCCCCGGACCGAGGCCAGACCGCCCCGGACCACGGCCAGAACGCCCAGCACAAAGGCCAGACCCCCGAUGAACCUGACAGGGCCCUCAGAAAGGACCUGUCCCAGGUCACGGGGAACAUGAGGACCCGGUUGAGGGGACUCAGGGAGCUCUGGCUGAAACCCGUACCAUCGCCCUGCUGGAUCAGGAGGAGGAGAAGCCUUUGGGCCGCCCUUCAGGCCUGAACCCCUUCCCUGGCCAGACCGCCCCGGACCGAGGCCGGACCGCCCCGGACCGAGGCCAGACCGCCCCGGACCGAGGCCAGACCGCCCAGGACCACGGCCAGACCGCCCCGGACCACGGCCAGACCGCCCCGGACCAAGGCCAGACCCCCGAUGAACCAGCAGGAGGAGAAGCCUUUGGGCCGCCCCUUAGGCCUGAACCCCGUCCCUGGCCAGACCGCCCCGGACCGAGGCCAGACCGAGGCCAGACCCCCCCAGAGUCCAGAACGCCCUGGACCGAGUCCAGACCGCCCCGGACCGAGUCCAGACCCCCGAUGAACCAGGUGAGUUCGCUGCAGUUUUUUUUAAUCUGUUUGUGUCUGUGUUUGUACCUGCUUGUUUGUGUGUGUGUGUGUGUGUGUGUUUGUGUGUGUGUGUGUGUGUGUGUGUGUGUGUGUGUGUGUGUGUGUGUGUGUGUUUUUGUGUGUGUGUGCAGUGUUUCCCACAGACCAAGGACCAAUGUGUGGUGCGGGGGUGGGUGGGGGGGGGUUGGGGCGGGCGGCGACGCGGCGCGGCGGCGUCAGCGCACGAGUUUAGUUUUUACCCGAACUUUUGAUUCUGUGACAUUCAAGGAAUGA